rnacentral:rRNA from 1 species
UGCGUAGGUGGCGAGCGUUGUCCGGAUUUACUGGGCGUAAAGGGAGCGUAGGCGGACUUUUAAGUGAGAUGUGAAAUACUCGGGCUCAACUUGAGUGCUGCAUUUCAAACUGGAAGUCUAGAGUGCAGGAGAGAAGAAUGGAAUUCCUAGUGUAGCGGUGAAAUGCGUAGAGAUUAGGAAGAACACCAGUGGCGAAGGCGAUUCUCUGGACUGUAACUGACGCUGAGGCUCGAAAGCGUGGGGAGCAAACAGG